CUCACAAAUAAAAAAGCUAAGAAAAAAAUAUAGAGGAGAGUAUUAAUAAUUUGCACUUCUAGCAAGAGAAGAUGAGUGCUUAUUGUGUAGGCAAAUAUUUAUGGCCAGAACUUGUGGGUAAGGAUGGGAAAUAUGCAGUGGCAACAAUUGACAGAGAGAAUCCAAGUGUGAAAGCUAUGAUUGUGUUGGAAGGAAGUGUGGUAACCCAGGACUUCCGUUGUGAUAGGGUUUGGGUUUGGGUUAAUGCACAUGGAAUUGUUAAAAGGGUCCCUGUAAUUGGUUAAUUAAUUAGGGGCACCCCAAUAGCUACCCUAUAUAAUCUCCAACCUCCAAUAUGCAAAAUUGUUACCAUUUAUUUAAUCCCUACCAACCUACCAUAAAUAAGGAGGUUCUAUUAUCUGAAUGAACGUUUUUGUAUUCAUAUUUAAAUCAAAUAUAUUUCAUUAAUAUAUAUAUAUAUA